CGGGAUUCUGUCCCAGCCCCUCCCCCGCCCAUUCCCGGUUUUUUCCCAUGGAUUCCCCCCCAGAAUCCCGGGAUUCUCUCCCAGCCCCUCCCCCGCCCAUUCCCGGUUUUUUCCCAGGGAUUCGACCCCGAUUCCAAGGGCAAAUUCCGGCCCCGGAAGCGCCACAAGGGGAGGGACCCCGAGCGCCGGCGGCGGCAGGUGCAGAACCAGGAGCUGAGGGCCCGGAUCCGGCAGAGUUUGGAGCAGAAGGAGAAAAACGAGGAGGGGGAACCCCCCAGGAAAAGGAGGAAAAAGGAGAGGAAAAACGGGGAAAAAACGGGAAAAAUCCUCCAAAAAACCGGGAAAAAAACGGCGGGAAAACCCCCAAAAUCCGCGGGAAAAAUGGCGGGAAAACCCCCAAAAUCCGCGGGAAAAAUGGCGGGAAAAUCCCCAAAAUCCGCGGGAAAAACGGGAGAAAUCCUUCAAAAAAAUGGGGGAAAAAUGAUGGGAAAAUCCCAGAAAAACGGGGAAAAAAUGGGAGAAAAAUCCCAAAAAAUUGGGGAAAAAAUGGGAGAAAAAUCCCCAAAAAUCAUGGAAAAAAUGGGAGAAAAAUUCCCAAAAAUUGGAGAAAAGUUGGGAGAAAAAUCCCAAAAAAUCAUGGAAAAAAUGGGAGAAAAAUCCCAAAAAAUUGGGGAAAAGUUGGGAGAAAAAUCCCAAAAAAUUGGGGAAAAAUUGGGAGAAAAAUCCCAAAAAAUUGGGGAAAAAAUGGGAGAAAAAUCCCCAAAAAUUGGGGAAAAAAUGGGAGAAAAAUCCCCCAAAAUUGGGGAAAAAAUGGGAGAAAAAUCAAAAAAAAUUGGAGAAAAAUUGGGAGAAAAGUCCCAAAAAAUUGGGGGAAAAUUGGGAGAAAAAUCCCAAAAAAUUGGGGAAAAAAUGGGAGAAAAAUCCCAAAAAAUUGGGGAAAAAACCCUGGAAAAAUUCCCAAAAAUUGGGAAAAAAACCCCGGAAAAAUCCCAAAAAAUUGGAGAAAAAUUGGGAGAAAAAUCCCCAAAAAUUGGGAAAAAAACCCCGGAAAAAUCCCAAAAAAAAGUGGGAAAAAGGCGGGGAAAGCCCAAAAAUCCCGGGAAAGGGAAGGAGGGGAUUCCCGGCCGGAAUUUGGGGGGAUCCCCCCAAAAAAGGGGAGCCCUGGAAAGGUUCAGGAAAUAAAAUUUUGGGAGCGGAGAUUUCGGGGUGUCUGAGAGGCUUUGUCCCCAAUUUUGGGGUCCCAUCCCAAAUUUUUGGGGUCCCCAAAUUGUCCCCAUCCCAUUUUGGGGGUCCCAUCCCCAUUUUUGGGGUCCCCAAAUUGUCCCAAUCCAAAUUUUUGGGGUCCCCAAAAUGUCCCAGUCCCAAUUUUGGGGUCCUCUCCCCAUUUUUGGGGGUCCUCAAUGUCCCCAUCCCAAUUUUUGGGGACCCCAAAUUGUCCCAAUCCCAAUUUUUGGGGUCCCAUCCCCAUUUUUGGGGUCCCCAAUGUCCCCUCUCCCCAUUUUUGGGGUCCCCAAAUUGUCCCCAUCCCAUUUUUGGGGUCCCAUCCCAAAUUUUUGGGGGUUCUCAAUGUCCCAAUCCCAAUUUUUGGGGUCCCCAGAAUGUCCCAAUCCCAAUUUUUGGGGUCCUCUCCCCAUUUUUUGGGGUCCCCUCCCCAUUUUUGGGGUCCCCAAAUUGUCCCAAUCCCAAUUUUUGGGGUCCCCAUCCCAUUUUUGGGGUCCCAUCCCAAAUUUUUGGGAGUCCUCAAUGUCCCAAUCCCAAUUUUUGGGGUCCCCAGAAUGUCCCAAUCCCAUUUUUGGGGUCCCCAAUGUCCCCUCUCCCCAUUUUUGGGGUCCCCAAAUUGUCCCAGUCCCAAUUUUGGGGUCCCAAUCCCAUUUUUGGGGUCUCCCAAUUUUUGGGGUCCCCAAAUUGUCCCCAUCCCAUUUUUGGGGUCCCAUCCCCAUUUUUGGGGUCCCCAGAAUUUCCCCAUCCCAAUUUUUGGGGUCCCCAAAUUGUCCCAAUCCCAAUUUUGGGGGUCCCAUCCCCAUUUUUGGGGUCCCCAAUGUCCCCUCUCCCCAUUUUUGGGGUCCCCAAAUUGUCCCAAUCCCAAUUUUUGGGGUCCCCUUCCCAUUUUUGGGGGUCCUCAAUGUCCCCAUCCCAUUUUUUGGGGUCCUCUCCCCAUUUUUGGGGUCCCCAAAAUGUCCCAAUCUCAAUUUUUGGGGUCCCCUCCCCAUUUUUGGGGGUCCUCAAUGUCCCCAUCCCAAUUUUUGGGGUCCCCAAAUCGUCCCAAUCCCAAUUUUGGGGGUCCCAUCCCCAUUUUUGGGGUCCCCAAAUUGUCCCAAUCCCAAUUUUGGGGGUCCCAUCCCCAUUUUUGGGGUCCCCAAUGUCCCCUCUCCCCAUUUUUGGGGUCCCCUCCCCCAGAUGAAGCCACCGCGGUGUCACCAGCACUGGGGACUUUAUUGGGGGGUGACACCUGAGGGACACCAGGGACACCUGAGGGACACCUGAGACACCUGGGGGACACCUGGGGGACACCUGAGGGACACCUGAGGGACACCUGAGACACCUGAGGGACACCUGGGGGACACCUGGGACACCUGGGGGACACCAGGGACAUCCAGGUGACACCUGAGGGACACCUGGGUGACACCUGAGACACACCUGGGACACCAGGGACAUCCAGGUGACACCUGAGUGACACCUGGGGGACAACUGAGGGACACCAGGGACAUCCAGGUGACACCUGAGUGACACCUGGGGGACAACUGAGGGACACCAGGGACAUCCAGGUGACACCUGGGUGACACCUGAGUGACACCUGGAGGACACCUAAAACACCAGGGUGACACCUGAGACACCUGGGUGACACCUGGGGGACACCUGGGACACCUGGGGGACACCAGGGACAUCCAGGUGACACCUGAGACACCCAGGGGACACCUGAGGGACACCUGGGACACCUGGGACACCUGGGGGACACCUGAGGGACACCUGAGGGACACCUGGGACACCUGGGACACCUGGGGGACACCUGAGGGACACCUGAGUGACACCUGGGGGACACCUGAGACACCCGGGGGACACCUGGGGGACACUUGGGACACACCUGAGUGACACCAGGGACAUCCAGGUGACACCCGCGGGACACCUGGAACNNNNNNNNNNNNNNNNNNNNAGCCCUGGAAAGGUUCAGGAAAUAAAAUUUUGGGAGCGGAGAUUUCGGGGUGUCUG
rnacentral:lncRNA from 1 species